rnacentral:rRNA from 1 species
UACGUAGGGUGCAAGCGUUAUCCGGAAUUAUUGGGCGUAAAGAGCUCGUAGGCGGUUUGUCGCGUCUGCUGUGAAAACUGGGGGCUCAACCCCCAGCCUGCAGUGGGUACGGGCAGACUGGAGUGCGGUAGGGGAGAAUGGAAUUCCUGGUGUAGCGGUGGAAUGCGCAGAUAUCAGGAGGAACACCGAUGGCGAAGGCAGUUCUCUGGGCCGUAACUGACGCUGAGGAGCGAAAGCGUGGGGAGCGAACAGG